UCUAAUAAAAGGGCUUUAGUAACCUGGCGGCGUGCCUAAACUGCAGUCGAGCGAAUGAAUAAGAGCUUGCUCUUAUGAAGUUAGCGGCGGACGGGUGAGUAACACGUGGGUAACCUGCCCAUAAGACUGGGAUAACUCCGGGAAACCGGGGCUAAUACCGGAUAACAUUUUGAACCGCAUGGUUCGAAAUUGAAAGGCGGCUUCGGCUGUCACUUAUGGAUGGACCCGCGUCGCAUUAGCUAGUUGGUGAGGUAACGGCUCACCAAGGCAACGAUGCGUAGCCGACCUGAGAGGGUGAUCGGCCACACUGGGACUGAGACACGGCCCAGACUCCUACGGGAGGCAGCAGUAGGGAAUCUUCCGCAAUGGACGAAAGUCUGACGGAGCAACGCCGCGUGAGUGAUGAAGGCUUUCGGGUCGUAAAACUCUGUUGUUAGGGAAGAACAAGUGCUAGUUGAAUAAGCUGGCACCUUGACGGUACCUAACCAGAAAGCCACGGCUAACUACGUGCCAGCAGCCGCGGUAAUACGUAGGUGGCAAGCGUUAUCCGGAAUUAUUGGGCGUAAAGCGCGCGCAGGUGGUUUCUUAAGUCUGAUGUGAAAGCCCACGGCUCAACCGUGGAGGGUCAUUGGAAACUGGGAGACUUGAGUGCAGAAGAGGAAAGUGGAAUUCCAUGUGUAGCGGUGAAAUGCGUAGAGAUAUGGAGGAAUACCAGUGGCGAAGGCGACUUUCUGGUCUGUAACUGACACUGAGGCGCGAAAGCGUGGGGGAGCAAACAGGAUUAGAUACCCUGGUAGUCCACGCCGUAUACGAUGAGUGCUAAGUGUUAGAGGGUUUCCGCCCUUUAGUGCUGAAGU
rnacentral:rRNA from 1 species